rnacentral:rRNA from 1 species
CGGGGCCCGCACAAGCGGUGGAGCAUUGUGGUUUAAUUCGAUGAUACGCGAAGAACCUUACCGGGGUUUUGACAUGCAGGUGAUCGCCGUUGAGAGACGGUUUCCUCUUCGGAGGCACCUGCACAGGUGCUGCAUGGCUGUCGUCAGCUCGUGUCGUGAGAUGUUGGGUUAAGUCCCGCAACGAGCGCAACCCUUAUCCCUAGUUGCCAUCAGGUAAAGCUGGGAACUCUGGGGAGACUGCCGGUGAUAAACCGGAGGAAGGCGGGAUGACGUCAAGUCCUCAUGGCCCUUACAUCCCGGGCUACACACGUGCUACAAUGGCAGGUACAGAGGGCUGCGAAGCCGCGAGGUGGAGCGAAUCCAAAAAAGCCGGCCUCAGUUCAGAUUGUAGGCUGCAACUCGCCUGCAUGAAGAUGGAGUUGCUAGUAACCGCAGGUCAGCAAUACUGCGGUGAAUACGUUCCCGGGUCUU